UACAGAGGGGGCAAGCGUUGUUCGGAAUUACUGGGCGUAAAGGGCGCGUAGGCGGCGGAUCAAGUCAGGCGUGAAAUUCCUGGGCUUAACCUGGGGGCUGCGCUUGAGACUGAUGUGCUUGAGGAUGGCAGAGGCUCGUGGAAUUCCCAGUGUAGAGGUGAAAUUCGUAGAUAUUGGGAAGAACACCGGUGGCGAAGGCGGCGACCUGGACAGUAACUGACGCUGAGACGCGAAAGCGUGGGUAGCAAACAGG
rnacentral:rRNA from 1 species